rnacentral:lncRNA from 1 species
CGCAAUGGCAUCCAUCCAAUCUCCCUGAGUCGAUGAGGUACCCCUGCCAUACACUGAAUACAUACGGUUGGCGUGCGGCUGCCACCCCAACACCGGAGCCUCAGAGUUUAUAAAACGCUGCUCUGAAGGAGAGCUAAACAUACGGCGCGCAUUCUCCAUGAUCUCCUUGUAUUCUCUAUCCAAAUAAGUCUGCAAAGAAGAAAAACAUUAUUUCAAAUAAUAUUUUAUUAUAAACGCAAAAUAUGUUAAUGCUUACGAAGAAUUCCGCAUCCAAUAUGAUAUGCGUCCUGUGAUCGAUGUCCUGAAGCAGGUCUGUACCGGUCACCAGCCUAUGCCUCAGCGUCAUCAUGUACGCAUCUACAUGCUGCACAUACUUUAAUGUUAAUAUUAAGUAAACAAUAAUACUACAUGUAACAAAUGCAUCAAAAAUAUUAGAUACCUCGGGCUCGAGCUCUUUAGUCCUGUUCAUGAGAGUCACCCAAAACUGCCUCUUGAUCGGGUGCCCACUCUCUGUCACCACCAACUUCCUGUAGUUCCCACCACGGAGACGCUCCGC